rnacentral:rRNA from 1 species
CCCUUAGAUGUCCGGGGCUGCACGCGCGCUACACUGAAGGAAUCAGCGUGCUAAAACCAUUGUCGAAAGGCAUUGGUAAACCCAUUAAAAUCCUACGUGAUUGGGAUCGGGAAUUGCAAUUAUUUCCCUUGAACGAGGAAUUCCCAGUAAGUGUGGGUCAUAAGCUCGCGUUGAUUACGUCCCUGCCCUUUGUACACACCGCCCGUCGCUGCCCGGGACUGAGCCGUUUCGAGAAAAGCGGGGACUGCUGCUGUCGGGGCUUUCGGGCCUUGGCUUCGGUGGAAACCGCUUUAAUCGCAGUGGCUUGAACCGGGCAAAANCCGUAACA